GAGAGAAUAAGUAGAUAGAGAAAUAUGGGAGGAGAAGAAGGAGCAAGAGAGAACAAGGAGUGAGGAUGCUAGGAGUUGGUCAUCAAGCCACUCAGCUCCCCAGGCAGCCACAGAGUAAGAGUGAACGUAAGAUAUUCACAAGUAAGAAAAGGGAAAAGCCUAGAGACAAAAGGUAAAUGGCAUAAUUUAAGUUAAGAGAAACUGGCUAAAAUUAAGCCAAGGGAAGGCUAGGCAUUUAUAAGAAAGAAUAAUUCUGUGUCAUGAUUUGGGAACUGGGUGGUGGACACCCAAAAAGGAUAAAGAGAAAAGAGUAAGAAGCAACAACAACAUGUUGGUGUGCAACAUGGGGUUAGAGUGAAGAAAAACCAACUGCAAGUAAUAACAUAAUUAGACCUGCACAAGUUCAAGCCAGUCAAAAUGUCAACAUGGUGUGGGCAAUUGGCAGGAACUCCUAGCUGAGAAGCUAUUGGUAAUUGAUAACUUCUGCAGGAGUGAUAGAUUUCUAUGAAGGUGUUGCCCCUGAUAAGUGUAACACACUACAGUUGAUUGUCACACACUCAAGCAUAUAGAGACACCAAUAAUAGGAGUGUAAGGGUUAUAAAACCAAACAACCUGAAUGAAGACACAAAGUUGGAUUGUUUGAAAUAAAAAGCAGAUAUAGGAGAAUAUGAGCAAAAAUGAUGAGCAUCAUCCAAUUUAAAAUAUUUUUUUUUUGAAAAUAGGUUAUUCUAUUCUCUGGGUUGGAGUAGUCACCAAACUAUGGUCAGACAGUGUGUGAUGUUGCAUGGUGAUAGACAUAGUAAAUAUGAUGGUACCAGCAGUAACUCUAAUAGGUCCCAGAUCUUAGCACAACUGAAUUUAUAAUGGAAGUACCAUUCAGGUUAUAAAACUUAGCACAUAGAUAGUACCACCUCCAGAAAUGAAAACAAAGACCUAAUCCACCAAAAAGCCCAGUUCUGGGUAAGUCUGUAUAUGUAUUAACUGUGGUUUUUGGCUUCUGUAGUUAUUCUUCUUGUGCUUUUGUUAACUGAAGUAUAUCAACCCAGAACACUGCUUUUGUGCUUUAAAAGCACUCCUUGAGAAAGACUUGGGUCUACCCUGGGAUCCCAAACACCCAGUAUAGUCACUAAUUGGCUAAUAAAGACUUCUAUAAGCUCAAACACACGUCUAAGCAGUCAUCUCUGAUUGAUAGUCUACAAAGUAAUUUUUUAUGUUACAGCUUGGCACACACUCCCAUUUCCUCCUCUAAAGACAAUUACUCUAUAUUGUGCUUCCAAAGUUAGGGGAGGGAUGAUGUGGGUAGCAUGUUGGAAACCAAUGCUGAUGUUCUACCCUAUUGUGAAGCCAAUGCUCAGAACACCUGUGAGACCAGCUCAGCACUGGGGAAGGACCAAGGCCAUGCUGCUUGUGUACUGAUUACCUCUAAGUUUGAUGUGUAUCUCAAAAUUUGAACAGGCAGUCAGGGUUUCCUGCCCUGUGGGAAGUUCAAGUUCCUCCCCCCUCCCUCCAGGUCCAGGAAGUAUGGAAGAGCACCUUUGGGGGUAAAGAUGGCACACACUCACCCUUCUGAACGGAACUCCUCAGUGGAAAACAGAAGACCCUGCAGCAGAAGCUGAAAUAAGAGGCAGUAGAUUCAUCUGGUUUAAGAAAAAUCAAGUUUGACCAAGAAAGACCCCCUGGAAAAUCUUUGAUAGGAGCAGAUGAUCCAACAUUUCAGAGGACCUCUGUUGGAGUUUUCUCUGAGUUCUACAUCCAGAACAGCCUCAAAACUGUUUGCUGAGAUGAUGAAGCCUCACAGAAUAUUCCAGUCAGCGGCUUCUCUAAAAAGCAUGUGAUUUCUCCGUGCCUUUCAACAUGUCGGCAGGCGUCCUUGCAACACACAAGCAACCAUCAUCUUUGCUUUGGGCAACCAUGUGACUGCUGACUGCCAGGUCUCCUGGCUUGUUUGGACCCCAGCAUCCUGCCUGCUUCACCUGCAGCUGAUCUGUUCUCUUCUACCUGUUAAAAAUCUGCAACUUUGAUUCUCUACUUUUUUCUUUGCUCCAAAGACCUGCACAUGUCUGUUUUAUUACAAACUGUGAGUCAGAGAUAAAAUAGCCAGCUUCUUCUCACUCACUUUUCAUUUAACUUUAUGUGCAACAUAAAUUCAAUGGCAUGUUUAUGUACAGGUACCUAUUGUUUAAAAAACAUUUUAAGUAGUCUUAAUAAGCUCUGUUCAUUGCACCUCCUUCUACAAAAAAAUCAAUCAGUCUGCAAUAUUUUUAAUUGGUAUGUACUUUUAAAUGAUGAUAAAUAUAUGGUUAAAGCUGUUAUAUUAUAUAUGUAAUUCAACUUUGCUCUAAAAUAUAUUCUUUAUAGUGAUAAAAUUUCAGAUUAUAAAGAUCUAUUUCAGAUUAAGAAAAGCUAACCUACCACCUUUCCUGUAAGCUGUUCUUCACUAUUGUCAGUUUUACUGUUAAGCAUCUAUAGCAAACAAUUUUGCUUCUUUGUCCUUCACAAGUAUAAAUCUCACCUAUUAAGUUAAAAUCCAGCACAGUCAUGCUGGAGGACUCUGGAUAAAAUACUACUCCACACCUCUCAGCUUGGACCCAGCUCUCCUGGCAGAUCCUACAUUAUAGUGAUAACUUACGUAUACUCAAUAGAUAGCCUUUAAAUGCUAGGAGAUCUGGGGAAUGUGACAUUUAAAUGUUUAAUUAUUAAAAGACUUUUCAUAACAGAGAGACAGGUUGCUCCUAGGAGUACCACCCAUUUCCUACAAAGAAAAUAGAAGACUGAUGGGCCAGAACAACAUCCAUCCACCAUUCUCUUCAAAAGAAAGCAUUAAUCACUGGAAAAAACUGUCUUUCAUCUAAACUGCUAAAGAUCUCCAGACAGUGAACAAAGGAAAACUGAAAUGACUGCCUGACUGCCCAGACCUGGAUAGUCUUGUCUCUCUACAGAUUCCUAACUGUAAGAUCUUCUAAAGCCUGGCAGACCCCAUGCUAACAGCAGAAGGCAAAUGCUACCCUUAAGACACUGCCCUCAAUGACCAUAGAGAAUGCUGGGGAAUGGCUGUCUAUGUCAUCAACAGAGGAAUAGAAACUUGUUAUUAUGGUUACAGUGCCCAAGGAUCUGUGAGACUUAUACAGUGACUGCACAUGGGUUGGUAGAUUUGCAGUUUAUGUAUGAACAGGAGCAUGAUUUCCAGUGCCCAUGAACUGUCCAUGAUAAGGAGCAUCCUCCUGGUCUGGCCAUGAAAAUACAUCACAGAAAUACCAAAGAUUCCAUCCUAAAGAGCAAAGUUCAUCUACACUUACUCACAUACCAUGAAAAUGGAAAUUUCUUCAUUAUUUGCAUUCAUGUCUUUUUGCUGUGUUGUUCACCUUCACGCUGAACUAUGUAUCCAUGUAUCCAAAAACACAGGAAAACACCAAAGGACCUGAAGGACUCUUGGGAAACAGACGAGUGAAUAAUUCCUGUUAAUGCAGUUGGUUCAAUGCAAUGUGGCCAGAGGGUUGGUGGGAAGAAAUUCAUACCUUACUCUUUCAUAUGUCACAUUUUGAGCACAAAUAUAGCAAUAUUCUCAUAAAAGACUCUUUUUUUUGCUGCCUCAAAGGGUCAUAGAGCAUUUUGAAAAGAAAAUUCAGCUCAUUUUAGAGACGAUCAUGAACCACUGGAACAGGAUCUUUCUAAGUUCAGAAUCUUCCAUUUCAGGAUCAUUCUAGGAUGAUAGAGACAUUGUAGAUAUACUAUGGUGUCCAUCAGUUCUCACAGUCCCCCUCUUCCCUGGAUUCAGGGUAUCAACAAUAGAUAUUGAGCCCAUAUGUACAGUAUGUGUGCUAUCUGCAUACUGAAUUCCAUUUCUUGAUUUUGUAAUCUUUAUUAAAGUCAUAAUUCAUACUCCACAUACUCUCUGGUAUUUUAAAUACAAGUGGGAGAAAAUACAUCUUGCUGAGAAGUUUUUUUUGAAUGACAUAUUCCUUAAGACCACAUGUUAACUGGAAAAUGCCCCCUUUCUGUUUGUUUAACUAGGCUUCCCUUCACUCAUUCAUUUAUCUAACCACCCAUCCAGUAACUCAGUAGUUACUAUUAUUCACUUGUAUCUGUAUCAGUCCAGUGCAUCUCAGACUAAAACUUGUUAUGUACAAGGAAUAGUUACUUUCCUUGGUGUUUCUCUCUAUCUCGCCAGGAAAACAGAUGUGUGUAGGGGAGGGCCUGGCCUGUGUGGAGUUGUUUCUAUUCCUGACUGUAGCAUGAGGGCCAGCUUGUUGGGGUUUCUGUCCUGCCCCAUACCCCACAGCCAGCAUAUCCCAAAGAAAAUCACUCACAAGACUCCCUAAGAUUAUAAACUGAUUGGCCCAUUAGGUCAGGCUACUUAUUAGCUCUUAUAACUGUUGGUACCCCAUUAUCCCUAUCUACGUUAGCCACACGGCUCAGUACCUUUCCCAGCUGGGCAGGUUACAUGCUACC